rnacentral:rRNA from 1 species
AUGGUGGCUUGUGGGCGGAUGUUUCUCAGACCUAAGUUGUUGCCGCUGGACCGUGGUUACAUUCAUCCUAGCUUGGAGGAAAUGGUGCGGGAAGAUAUGCAUGUGCUGGGCGAAGAAGUGGACGAAGGCCGAAGUAGCAAUCUCUGCCUCCCUAUCGCUGCGUCCUGCUCCUCACUAUGUCACCUUAGUCAUUGCCGCCUUAUCCCUCAUGCUGCUGAUGUGAAUCUGCCCUACUCUUCUUCUCCUAGACUGCUCGAGCGCUUCAGCGGGUGCCUUGCCGACGACAGGGAAGGAAGGACCAGACCAAGAAAUUGA